UACAGAGGGGGCAAGCGUUGUUCGGAAUUACUGGGCGUAAAGGGCGCGUAGGCGGCCUGUUAAGUCGAACGUGAAAUCCCCGGGCUCAACCCGGGAACUGCGUCCGAUACUGGCAGGCUUGAAUUCGGGAGAGGGAUGCGGAAUUCCAGGUGUAGCGGUGAAAUGCGUAGAUAUCGGAAGGAACACCAGUGGCGAAAGCGGCUUCCUGGUCCAGCACCGACGUUCAGGCACGAAAGCGUGGGGAGCAAACAGG
rnacentral:rRNA from 1 species